AUGUCGGCUCGCAAGCUGCAAGGUAACCAGAAGGGGAAACAGCGAGCCAGGAAGCGCCCAGUGCCCGAGCUAUCCCCUCCUCAGUCUUCAUCAGAUGAGGAGGCAUGGCCAGUAUGGCAGAAGUUGCAGCAGCAGGUGGCGGCCCUGGAGAGGGCACGGCUAGCACGGGCACCCCCUGCCAGGGGAGGGGAGCAGCCCCGCAGGUCCACCCGGGAUGCCAAAGGGCACUGCAGGGCAAAGCUUUGGGCCAUAGUGCAGGACAUUAAGAGCAAAGUUGCCAUUUUAGAGGCGGAGCUACAAUCAGACGAAACCAGCGAUGAUACAGUGGCACCACCAGAACGUAGUGGGAAGUCCAAGGUGCACACCACGUCAGAAUCAGGUGCAUCAUUGGCAAUAACGGGGAGCAGGAGCAAAGCCUUGGAGGAGACCAACCGGGUCAAGACUGUGGCCCCGCCGGUACCAGAUGCAACUGUUCAGAGAACUAGACCCGUGGGCCAGCGAGGUGCCGGAGAUCCUUCCCCAAGAGGUUUGGUCAAUUGGCGCGAAGAAGCGGAGAGGGCGAUAAACAUGGCCCUUGAACCAAGGACAAGGAGUGAGUACUCAGAAGUGAGUAGAGAAUUUCAAAAAUUCAGAGAGUCAGUGGGGUUGGAGCAGAGUUGGCCCAUCCCAGUCGACCAUUUGCAACAGUUUAUCGUCAGCCUGCACAGACAGGGUUUGGCCCCGGGAACGAUCCAAGACAAGCUGUCAGCGUUGGCUUUUCAGGCCAAAGCCAGGGGCCUCCCAGAAUUUUCUGAUGAUUUUCAAAUAAGAAAGAUGAUUGAGGGCUUGGCCAAAGAAAGGGACAGGGCCAAAGACUCGAGAGCACCCAUAUCGCCCGAGCUGUUGAAGGGUACAAUGGGGUCUGGACCUACGGAAUUAAUCCGUAUUGGAACAGGGUUCGUAGGUCGAAAAGUCCGCAGGUCGAAAAUGCAUUCCCCAUAGUAAGGCAUUGAAAACCAUUUAAUCCGUAACCUGCCCAAGAAACUCCCCCCCCACACAAAAUUAGAAUAAAUUUUAAAAAAUAAAACCUUUCCUUUCUGAA
rnacentral:lncRNA from 1 species